AAACGUGGAAGGGUGUUCCGUCUGACGUUCAGCUCAAGACGUAUUUGGGCCGCGUGCAGAAGACGAUGGAGAGUCUCGGCUUCUCGGAGAUUCAGGCGCAGGCGAUUCUCGAUCUGCAACUGCGCAGGUUGUCGGCACUCGAGCGACAGAAGA
rnacentral:misc_RNA from 1 species